AUCAUAUCGGUGCUGUUGGCGUGACUAUGGGCAUCCUCACUGCGUUGGCACCCAGCAGGAAGGGGGUCAUCAACAAGUAUGUCGUCAGGGCCAACAUCACUGGGCAGAUGGCCUGCUUCAUGACGGCAUGUGUAGCAGGAAUGUUGUACAAUUCCGACCAAGAAUAACUUCUAAAUGAUGUGGCAGAUGUAUAUAACCUGGAGGUGUGAUUCUUGAAGCUUCAACGAGGAAAUCCUGCACAACCGUAUACAACCUAUGGGCUACUGCAUAAAACAUAUACUUUAUACGACAUGAAUGCCUGUUCAAUCAUAUGCAAAGCAGGUACUUCUGUAUAAAACGUAUUCUACCAUAAAGAGCAUAUAUAUUACAAUAAUCCAUUCGUAUACAGCACAAGUAGUACCGAAAACAUA